rnacentral:tRNA from 1 species
GGGGAUUUAGCUCAGUGGAAUAGCACCUGCCUUGCAAGCACAAGGUCCUAGGUUCAAUCCCUGGCACCCCCC